rnacentral:lncRNA from 1 species
AUCCAUAGCACUAUUUGAUUUUACAUUCAAUAUUCCAGAUGGAUACAAGAAACCGCUUCAAAAGGUUUCCCAAAAAAGGCUAACGAUUUAAAAAGCAGCGUGCAAACAUUUUUAACCGAAAAUCCUCACCCUAAUAACUUUAAAGAUAAUCGACCUGGAGAUGGAUGGUUAAAAGGAUUUUUGAAGCGACAUCCAGAGGUUUCUAAAAGGACCAGUGAAGGUGUAACGGCAGCUAGCGCUUGUGUAUCUGAACGAGACAUCAAAAACUGGUUUAAAAAUAUUGAAACCUAUGUUAAAGAAAAA